rnacentral:lncRNA from 1 species
GCGGGACUUAGCUCCGUGCUCUGGGCUUGUGGAUUUUCCCUCCCCCACGCUCCUCUGCCUUCCCUGGUGCCUAUCAGGGACAGGGAGUGAUUGAAAUUAUUGAUUCAAUCCGUUUAUCCUCCUACCCCGGUGCAUCUCGGCUGGACCACUGAUUCUAGGGCCGAGCUUCGGCACGGUCCGCUGGCUUCCUCCACUUGGUGCCGAGGGCAACUGGAGCUGCAGAAACUCCUGGGGAGUCAGCAACGAAGACCAAGGACUGGGCUGGCAAUGGACUCCAGUUCCCAAGCCAGCUGCAGCUACUGAAUCCAGGGAAAUUGUGACGCGGCCGGCUGUUCCGAAGGCCGGGCCCGUCAGCUUGAUCCACUGCAAAAGAGGCAGACUUGACUCUCAACCUCCAAGUCCAAAGUUCCUCCAAACCUGCAUCCUGAGCUCUUACAAGGAAUCUCUGUGGGAAUACUCCCUCCCAUAGUAUGGAAUAAGUCAUAGCCACAAGAAUGAAGACGUUGCUGUUCCUUGAGUGACAAUAAAAGCAUCAUCUUGGGGGCAAUCGUGACUGGACUUAUCGUAAAUGCCUUCCUCUUCUACUAGAUUCCUGAAGUUCUCCUGCCCGCCUGCAUUUAUUUCCCAAGAAUUCUGUGCAGCUGAAGUAAUGUGCAUGAAUAUUGCGUAACAUUCUGUGGACGGAUACCAUAUCGUAGAAAUAAUUUAAUUGACGACCUGUAAUGAAAAGAGCGCUGGAACAUUCUUGUGCUACUAAAAGUGAGAGUGAAGCGUGCAUUCAAAUCAUCACCAUCGCCAUAACCAUCACUCAAAUCUGCAAACCCAAGUCUGUGACAGAGGACCCUAACUUCAUCCGUACACCAACAGCAGCCCUCAAAUAUGAAGCAACAAGGCUUAGGUGCCCUUUAUGUCAUCAGUGUUAUAAUAGAAUAUUGCAUAUAGUACCCUGCUAGCAUUUUUGGUACUUUAGUGCUAUGGUUGGGGUCCUUUCUUCCUUCCUUCCUUCCUCCCUUCCUUCCUUCCCUCCUUGCUUCUUUCCUCCCCUCCUUUAGUUCUUUCUUUCUUUCAUUACUAAAUACAAAUUUUAUGUACUGUGAUAAAGUAGUGGAAAGAAACUGUGUCGUUCUCUUGAGCUAGUAGAAAUAAGAUUGCUGCUGAAAACCUUUAACUCCAAAUUCUCUGGCUUUCAUGGGAAUGGAAUUUCAACUCUAAUGCAGCAUUAAUGGGGUUUUGCAUUGAAUUGCCUUUUGGGGUUUGAUUUGCCUUUUAGAGAAGCUGGUGUUUGACUGCAUGUUCAAACACGGCAUGUAUUCUUAUGAGCAAUGUGAGAUUCAAAUAAACACAACGAGUGUGUUCA